rnacentral:rRNA from 1 species
ACUCAAAUGAAUAGACGGGGGCCCGCACAAGCAGCGGAGCAUGUGGUUUAAUUCGAAGCAACGCGAAGAACCUUACCAAGGCUUGACAUCCCUUGACGCGCAUAGAAAUAUGCGUUCCCUUCGGGGCAAGGAGACAGGUGGUGCAUGGUUGUCGUCAGCUCGUGUCGUGAGAUGUUGGGUUAAGUCCCGCAACGAGCGCAACCCUUAUGACUAGUUGCCAGCACGUAAAGGUGGGAACUCUAGUCAGACCGCCGGGGAUAACUCGGAGGAAGGUGGGGAUGACGUCAAAUCAUCAUGCCCCUUAUGUCUUGGGCUACACACGUGCUACAAUGGCCGGUACAAAGAGCGGCGAACCCGCAAGGGUAAGCGAAUCUCAAAAAGCCGGUCUCAGUUCGGAUUGUGGGCUGCAACCCGCCCACAUGAAGUCGGAGUUGCUAGUAAUCGCGGAUCAGCAUGCCGCGGUGAAUGCGUUCCCGGGCCUUGCACACACCGCCCGU